UGUGGGAGCGGGCUUGCCCGCGAUAGCGGAGUGUCAGUUUGCAGAUAUCUCAACUGAUACACCGCCAUCGCGGGCAAGCCCGCUCCCACA
rnacentral:antisense_RNA from 1 species